rnacentral:rRNA from 1 species
UAUGACGGUACCCUUUCGAAUAAGAGGUUGCUAACUCUGUGCCAGCAGCAGCGGUAAUACAGAGACCUCGAGCGUCAUCCGGAUUUACUGGGCGUAAAGCGUCUGUAGGGGGUUUGUUAAGUUCCAAGUAAAAUCUUAAGGCUCAACUUUAAGUUCGCUUGGAAAACUAAUAAACUGGAGUCCAGCAGAGGUGCAUGGAACUUGCGGUGUAGGAGUGAAAUCCGUUGAUAUCGCAAGGAACACCAAAGGCGAAGGCAUUGCACUGGGCUGGUACUGACCCUGAGAGACGAAAGCGUGGGGAGCAAAACGGAUUAGAUACCCGUGUAGUCCACGCCGUAAACGAUGGAUACUAGAUGUUCGGGGAUUCGACCCCCUGGGUGUCACAGCUAACGCGUUAAGUAUCCCGCCUGGGAAGUACGGCCGCAAGGCUAAAACUCAAAGGAAUAGACGGGGAUCCGCACAAGCGGUGGAGCGUCUGGUUUAAUUUGAUAGUAAGCAAUGGACCUCACCAAGGUUUGACAUCCUAUGACAACCCUGGAAACAGGGCUUCCUUCGGGCAUAGUGACAGGUGCUGCAUGGUCGUCGUCAGUUCGUGCCGUGAGGUGUUCCGUUAAGUCGGGAAACGAACGAAACCCUCGUCGCAUGUUACAAAUUUCAUGCGAGACUGCCCGGGUCAACCGGGAGGAAGGCGGGGAUGACGUCAGAUCAGCAU